rnacentral:rRNA from 1 species
UACAGAGGGUGCGAGCGUUGUUCGGAAUUAUUGGGCGUAAAGGGCGCGUAGGCGGUGCGGUAAGUCACCUGUGAAAUCUCCUGGCUCAACUGGGAGCUUGCAGGCGAAACUGCCGUGCUGGAGUGUGGGAGAGGUGCGUGGAAUUCCCGGUGUAGCGGUGAAAUGCGUAGAUAUCAGGAAGAACACCCGUGGCGAAGGCGGCUCGCUGGGCUCUACCUGACGCUGAGGCGCGAAAGCGUGGGGAGCGAACCGG